rnacentral:antisense_RNA from 1 species
CUUCACCGACCCCAGCCACAACGGCCGGUCAUCCGGCCGGUCCUGACCGUACGUCGCCAGCACCGCCUGCGCCUC